CUGAUGUUGCUGGCAUUGUUGAAAACUUGGGCAAAAAACUUUUUGGCAGAGCAGCCAACCUUAUAUCUCGACACAGAGAGUUAAUGGAGUACUUAAAAUCUAGUGUUUUGGAUAUAGUGGAGGAUGAAUGUAAGAAGCUCUGUAACCCCCAUCACCACUUCAUGCUGUGGAGGACAAGUUCUCCUGACUUACACAAAUUCUCAUUCAAUGAGUUGUUUGAAGAUCUGAAGAGACUGUCCCCAUUUACAGUAUAUUCAGCAUGAUUGCAAAAAUGGCCAAAGACUCACUUCCCCACAUCUGCAUUGUGGCCUCAGUAGCUCUGAGAGGAAGAAACCCCCGGUUAUCAGCACUGGCCUAUUAUGUUGAUGCUGUCUUGUUGUAUGGUGGGGCAAAAAAGGCUGUUUUCCAGUGACUGGGAAAACUGGGCAUCUCUACAAUUCAUCAAAGUGCAGUUGGCAAACAGAAAGAGUUGGCACAUAACUGCAAGCCUCCUGUGUUCUCUUUAAAAAAAGACCUGGAAUCUUACCUCAGCUCCCAAGUUACAAACAUAAGUGAGCAGGAAAGGACAUUAAAGGUAAGCACUUCCAUAUCAAGCUGCACCGGUGAGCCCACCAAACAGCCUACCGAAGUGGUUGAUUUCCGUGAUGUGUUCACAUUCAGCGCACUUUCGGAUGAGGACAUGGCUGAUUUGGGUGUUGUACCCCUCUCUGUUCCAGCACUUCUAGCGACAUCUAUACCACACACAUAUUCAAUUGUUUUUGAUAACCUUGACUUUUUUAUACGCACACAUCACCAGUCAACCAACCAGACAAACAAGUCUAUACACUGGAUCCAUCACAUGUGUGUCAUCGACCAUUUACCCUCACUCCAUCUCCCAAACACUAAACCGGCCAAUAGCUUGUCAGACUAUGAUCUCGGGGAGUCACUUCCAGGUCCACAUACACAAGCCUGCAUGCGGCGAGAGUUUGUUGUUUUGGGAAGCCGUAUCCUGACCAGUUAUUUGGAAAUACUGAAGCCUUUCGCAAGUGCUGUUGUCCAUCACAUUCCCCAUCUGUCCACGGACGAAAUGGCCCAGACCUCAACCCAUUUCCCGCUAGGACUUCUCUUUAAAAAUGAAAACAAAACUGGUGACUUGGUGGAUGUGCUCCAGAACAGA